CCUCUAAUUCAGAGUCUGAUGAGAUAGCUCGUUGUCUGAUCCAUAUCCCUCUGUUUCUUCUUUGUGUCAGGCUAGCCGCGGGGGAGAGCUUAUUUGACACCGUGCCCCCUGUAAUGGAGGUGGAGGAACUACGGCCUUUCUGUCGGUGUCAGGAGGGCUACAGCAUGUCUCUGCAUUUCACCACGGGCCACACCGGGAGAUAGCCACGAUAACUUUAACCCCUCGUUGCCCCAGCACCAGGCCCAGUGCCAGUCUCACGACAACGUGGAUGUCUUCCCCUGGGUGGACACUACCUCUGAGUACAUUAGGAGCGCUGAGCCAGAACAAAGUUACCACCAGGGAGUGUCCAUUCUGAAAGGCCCAGCUCUGCCUAUGGAGAUACACAAAUAGCCGAGUUCCCAGAUGGUGGACUAUGGUGGGUUUGGGGACCACGUGGAUAAGAGUGAUAGAGAGAUUGACCGGGAGCUCAGAAGAGACUUCCUGGUUGCUGUAGACGACAACAGGCCCAAGACAAAGAGACAGGCGCUGAGUUCCAGCCCAUCUUCACCACUCAGUCCCUGAGCCAAGCAGACCUGGAGAGCUUAGCCUAUUUCUUUCCUGAGGACCACCACCUGUCUGCAGAGCGACCAGUGGCCCAGCCUGUGUGGCCCACCCCGUGUGGGCUUACCUCGGUCAAGUCCCUGGAGGUGUGCCAGCUAGCCCUGGGGAACUCCAUGGUGGGAACAGUGUGUAGAAGGGCUGCUGGGCCGGAGGCUGGAUGAGGCAGUGGACCUGUGCAUGCUGGACCUGCAGCUCAAGGAUGACCUGGCCUGGGAGGAGACUCUGGUGCCCUACCUGGAGAACGAGUGUGAGAGGAGGCUAUUGGAGGACCGGACCCAGAGGGCCCUGGAGCUGGGGGAGUCCAUGGCCAGGACCGGGAUGGAG
rnacentral:lncRNA from 1 species